rnacentral:tRNA from 1 species
GAGGGCAUGGCUCAGUGGUAGAGUGUGUGCUUAGCAUGCGCAAGGUCCUGGGUUCAAUCCCCAGUACCUUCG